ACCUGCAAAUUUCUACUAGGAUUUUUUUCUUGCCAGCAGAAAUUUGCAACUUUGAACAGAUGUUUUGUAAAGGUCACCUGUUUUAUAAAAAGCAGCCGUUACAUAAAAGUACAAAAGCUAACACAAAAAUGAUUCAAAAAGGCAGAGAUUCAUGGCAGCAGCCAAAUAGAAAGUUCCCUUAGCCAAAUGAAGUUGUUAUUUUACCUCAAGUCGGUUGUUCUACAUUAAAAAACACCAAGAAAAUAGCAAUUAUCGGUUUCUCAAGUGUUUUGAUGGCAUUAUCCUCAUCGGAGAUCUACGAUGAAAUCAACACCGAUCCUUUGAAUUUGUUAAGGAGGGAAGAUGUUGCCAUGAGAUUAAGUGGGUCGGGCUGGGCAGUUAAAAGUGACGCACAGUGGGAUUGGAAAAAAUUAGUGCAAAUUAGUCUGCCAAUUGUGAAUGGAUAGAGAUAUCUUUAACGAUAACACAGUGUCUGC